rnacentral:tRNA from 1 species
GGGGCUGUAGCUCAGUGGUAAAGCGCUUGCCUUGCAUGCAUGAGACCCUGGGUUCGAUCCCCAGCACCACA